CCGAGGAGCCGAGGAGCCGAGGAGCCGAGGAGCCUAGGAGCCGAGGUCACAUGGUGUCAGAUCUCCUCAGCGUUCCCACCGGAGCUCGUCCCUGAAACACGAGGAUGCGUCAGGACUUGUGGAAUCAGGAAGAGAAGCAGAGAGAUUGACGUGUUAUCAGCUGCUGAGCCGUGAACUCUGUGGAAACUGCAGUUUCAUCUCUGAGCUGCAGGAUUGUGUCAAAGUUCCUGAUCCUCAUGAGGUCACGUCCGGGGUCACAACACGGAUCCACUGCGGCUGGUUCUGGAGUUUCAGAGUCUUCAGAGUCUUGUGUUGUGAUUCAGGUGAACCACGACUCUUCUCUCAGAGCCGCGGUCACAUGGUCCCUCAUGUGAUGGAUAAUCUCAUUCUCAUGGUGAGAGAGGAUCACAGGACUGGAGCUGCUGGAUCUGCAAAGUGCUGACGUGUCCUCGGUCAUGUGAGCCGCUCAGGAACGUCAUGAUCUGAUCUGAGGUCAACGAUGGCGUUCAGCAAAGGGGCGGGUCUUAACCUCAGAAGCAGGGAUCUGGGAUUUGACUUUGUAGACAGGCCUGCAAAGUUCAGUGGUUUGAUUCCCAAGGUCCUCAUGAUGUUCACGAAUGAGGUGAAGUUUGAUCGGUGACGAGUGAUCGAUACAAACCAGAACUCUCCGGGUCCGACAGCCUGGUUUCCUCCCUGAAGUGAACCAGAAGCACAGGAUGUCUCAGAGGGUUACACGCUAACCCCGGUGCCCUGAGUGCUGCUCCGGCUCCUCUCAGGACACAUUCCUCUGGACCAACGUUACAAAACGUUGUAAAACAAGCGACCUUCCACUCACACCUGCUCUCCAGGAACUCUGGAAAGUGUUUUACACAACCUGAAGACGUCUUAUCACCGUGGAGAUAACGCUGGGAAAACAAGCUGAUUCCCAAGGUCACAUGUUCACCUCCGCAAAGUGUUGUUUGCACACAAAGUUUGUGUAGUUUUUAAUAAAAGUUUGUUUAUCAGCGUUUAUCUGCAACAAACACUAAUACAUUCACCAAACUUCAUCAAUCAACAGAUGAAUUAUUGUGGAAGCUCCUGCUCAGUCCAGACUUUAAACGAUUCCUUUAAAUACAAAGAAUCUGGAUUUGUGAAAGGAAAAUAUAUGAAUGAAGACAAACGGGAUUCAAGAGGACAACGAGUUUAAAGCUUCCACAAACAUUCCUGGGUUUUAUUACAAAUAUUAAUAUCAGUAAACGUUCUCACUCAUCACAAUAUAUGCAAAACCCUGAUUAUUAAGAUUUUGCAAAGUCUGGUUAUUCUCUGAAUGUUCUCGUGUCAGUAACACGUCACGUGGUCCAGAGCGUAUGAAGAUAAUCACAAGUCUCCACGAAGGUUUGUUCUCUGAGCUGCUCACCUCCUCCUCAUAUCCUCAUAUCCUCAUCUCCUCAAUCCUCAUCUCCUCAUCUCCUCAUCUCCUCAUCUCCUCAUCUCCUCAUCUCCUCAAUCCUCAAAGACCAAAACAGGAGAAGCUCUGAAGAGAAAGAUCAUUUCACAACAUACUUUGAUCAUAUAUUUGAUCUAUAUAAGCUUUAGUUACAGUCCUAAAAGUUAACAUUUAGAGAUAAUAUCCCAAUUAGCUUUCAAACCAAAUUCCUUCCAUGUGUUGUUGAGUUAUUUUGUACAAACAAACCAAAAAGGUGGAAAAUGACUUUUUGAAAUCACGUCUCAAACUGUCGAAGUGAAACUUUUCUCACAAUGUUCAGAGAACUCCAGCUUCUUGCUUCUUUGGUGCAGAGAACCACUUCUUUAAUAAACUAUAAUCUCAUAAACCACUAAAUAGUCUGCAGGAGGAAACAGUUACCACACUCACACACACACACACACACACACACACACACACACACAUUCACACACACUCACUCACACUAUGCACGUGUAUCUAAUGUGCUGCAGCAUGGAUUUCUGUAAAUAGUUCUAAUCUAAUUUCUGGCUUCACAGGACCGGACACGUAGAUCUGAGUUUCACGUACGUUUGCUGCUGAACUCGACUUUGAAGGAUUGAAGAACCUUCAGAAGUUAAACAUCUGGACACGUUCCUCUCUCACCAUCUCCAUCUCCUCCUGCCCUAACCCUGCUCACUGCUGAGGAAAUGUGUUUCCUCCUCAGCUGAAGCAAAGAGAAGCGUGUCUCCAGCUGGGUUCACAUGAAUCCUCCUGGUCUCCAUGUGAGGGACGAGGUCACGGGGUCGUCUCUCAGGAGGAGAUGGAGGACGUCUCUUCUACGUCCAAGCUCUUCUGACCAGAUGCCAAACUCAUUUAGUUUCACUUUAUGUUAAUAUCUGGUUUGUCACCUGCUGGUUUUUCAAAGUUAGAGACUGAAUCUUGAAAACUCCUGAUCUGGCUUCACGUGACUUCAUGCUUCAUUCGUCUUAAGGAGCAACAGUGACCUCUAGAGGCCGCCACCGUUAAUCACAGCUACACUCUGUUUGUGCUGAAGCUGAAAGAAUAAAUGAAAUCUUCAUUUCUUUAA